UACGUAGGGUGCGAGCGUUGUCCGGAAUUAUUGGGCGUAAAGAGCUCGUAGGCGGUGUGUCACGUCGGCCGUGAAAACCUGCAGCUUAACUGUGGGCUUGCGGUCGAUACGGGCAUCACUGGAGUUCGGCAGGGGAGACUGGAAUUCCUGGUGUAGCGGUGGAAUGCGCAGAUAUCAGGAGGAACACCAGUGGCGAAGGCGACUACCUGGCCUGUUCUUGACGCUGAGGCGCGAAAGCUAGGGGAGCAAACGGG
rnacentral:rRNA from 1 species